rnacentral:rRNA from 1 species
AGCGAACGCUGGCGGCAUGCUUAACACAUGCAAGUCGCACGGGCAGUAGCAAUACUGUCAGUGGCGGACGGGUGAGUAACGCGUAGGAAUCUAUCCUUGAAUGGGGGACAACCGUGGGAAACUACGGCUAAUACCGCAUGAUGCCUGAGGGCCAAAGACGAAAGUCGUUUGAGGAGGAGCCUGCGUCUGAUUAGGUAGUUGGUGGGGUAAAGGCCUACCAAGCCCUACGAUCAGUAGCUGGUCUGAGAGGAUGAUCAGCCACAUUGGGACUGAGACACGGCCCAAACUCCUACGGGAGGCAGCAGUGGGGAAUAUUGGACAAUGGGCGCAAGCCUGAUCCAGCAAUGCCGCGUGGGUGAAGAAGGUCUUCGGAUUGUAAAGCCCUUUGGCGGGGACGAUGAUGACGGUACCCGCAGAAUAAGCUCCGGCUAACUUCGUG